AUUGAACGCUGGCGGCAUGCUUUACACAUGCAAGUCGAGCGGCAGCGCGGGGGCAACCCUGGCGGCGAGCGGCGAACGGGUGAGUAAUGCAUCGGAACGCACCCUGGAGUGGGGGAUAACGCCGCGAAAGCGGCGCUAAUACCGCAUAUGCUCUGAGGAGGAAAGCAGGGGGACCGCAAGGCCUUGCGCUCUUUGAGCGGCCGAUGUCAGAUUAGCUAGUUGGUGAGGUAACGGCUUACCAAGGCGACGAUCUGUAGCGGGUCUGAGAGGAUGAUCCGCCACACUGGAACUGAGACACGGUCCAGACUCCUACGGGAGGCAGCAGUGGGGAAUUUUGGACAAUGGGCGCAAGCCUGAUCCAGCCAUGCCGCGUGAGUGAAGAAGGCCUCGGUUGUAAG
rnacentral:rRNA from 1 species